GACGAACGCUGGCGGCGUGCUUAACACAUGCAAGUCGAACGGAAAGGCCCUGCUUUUGUUGGGUGCUCGAGUGGCGAACGGGUGAGUAACACGUGAGUAACCUGCCCUUGACUUUGGGAUAACUUCAGGAAACUGGGGCUCAUACCGGAUAGGAGCUCCUGCUGCAUGGUGGGGGUUGGAAAGUUUCGGCGGUUGGGGCUGGACUCGCGGCUUAUCAGCUUGUUGGUGGGGUAGUGGCUUACCAAGGCUUUGACGGGUAGCCGGCCUGAGAGGGUGACCGGCCACAUGGGGACUGAGAUACGGCCCAGACUCCUACGGGAGGCAGCAGUGGGGAAUAUUGCACAAUGGGCGGAAGCCAGAUGCAGCAACGCCGCGUGCGGGAUGACGGCCUUCGGGUUGUAAACCGCUGUCGCCGGUGACGAAGCGGGAGUGACGGUAAUGGGUAAAGAAGCACCGGCUAACUACGUG
rnacentral:rRNA from 1 species